rnacentral:rRNA from 1 species
GACGAACGCUGGCGGCGUGCUUAACACAUGCAAGUCGAGCGGUAAGGCCCUUCGGGGUACACGAGCGGCGAACGGGUGAGUAACACGUGAGUAAUCUGCCCAUCACUUCGGGAUAACUCCGGGAAACCGGUGCUAAUACCGAAUAUGACCACUUCGGGCAUCUGAUGGUGGUGGAAAGUUCCGGCGGUGAUGGAUGAGCUCGCGGCCUAUCAGCUUGUUGGUGGGGUAGUGGCCUACCAAGGCUUCGACGGGUAGCCGGCCUGAGAGGGUGACCGGCCACACUGGGACUGAGACACGGCCCAGACUCCUACGGGAGGCAGCAGUGGGGAAUAUUGGACAAUGGGCGAAAGCCUGAUCCAGCAACGCCGCGUGAGGGAUGACGGCCUUCGGGUUGUAAACCUCUUUCAGCAGGGACGAAGCGCAAGUGACGGUACCUGCAGAAGAAGCACCGGCCAACUACGUG